UACGUAGGGUGCGAGCGUUAAUAGGAAUUACUGGGCGUAAAGCGUGCGCAGGCGGUUUGCCAAGUCAGAUGUGAAAGCCCCGGGCUUAACCUGGGAAUGGCGUUUGAAACUGGCAGGCUAGAGUUUGGCAGAGGGGGGUGGAAUUCCACGUGUAGCAGUGAAAUGCGUAGAUAUGUGGAGGAACACCAAUGGCGAAGGCAGCCCCCUGGGCCAGAACUGACGCUCAUGCACGAAAGCGUGGGGAGCAAACAGG
rnacentral:rRNA from 1 species